rnacentral:rRNA from 1 species
UUUUAAUUUAAUUUAUAAUUUAAAAUUUUAAAUUAAAUUUGAUUGGGGCGAUGGAAAAAGAAUGAGUAUCUUUUUUAGUUUUAAAAAUUGGUUCCGUUUUUAACGAUUAAAUGAGAAAAAUACUCUAGGGAUAACAGCGUAAUAAUUUUGGAUAGCUCUUAUAGAUAAAAUAGUUUGCGACCUCGAUGUUGGAUUAGGAUUCUUUCUUGGCGAAGAAGUUAAGAAAAAGAAGUUUGUUCAACUUUUAAAUUCCUACAUGAUCUGAGUUCAGACCGG